AGAACGAACGCUGGCGGCGUGGAUAAGACAUGCAAGUCGGACGGGAUUUCUUUCUGUCGCAAGACAGGAAGAAGUCUAGUGGCGAACGGGUGCGUAACACGUGGGCAAUCUGCCUUAAAGUGGGGGAUAGCUCGCCGAAAGGCGAAUUAAUACCGCAUAUGAUCAGGGAAGACACCUUUCCGAAAUCAAAGCCGGGGCAACCUGGCGCUUUUUGAGGAGCCCGCGGCCUAUCAGCUUGUUGGUGAGGUAACGGCCCACCAAGGCUAUGACGGGUAGCUGGUCUGAGAGGGCGACCGGCCACACUGGGACUGAGACACGGCCCAGACUCCUACGGGAGGCAGCAGUGGGGAAUAUUGCGCAAUGGGCGGAAGCCUGACGCAGCGACGCCGCGUGCGGGAUGAAGGCCUUCGGGUUGUAAACCGCUUUCACCAGGGACGAAGCGGAAGUGACGGUACCGUGGGAAGAGCGCCGGCUAACUACGCGCCAGCAGCCGCGGU
rnacentral:rRNA from 1 species